rnacentral:rRNA from 1 species
UAAGGCUGAGACACGACGUCGAGCAUCUACGGAUGUGAAGUCAUUGAUGCCAUGCUUCCAGGAAAAGCCUCUAAGCUUCAGAUUGUAAGGAAUCGUACCCCAAACCGACACAGGUGGUCGGGUAGAGAAUACCAAGGCGCUUGAGAGAACUCGGGUGAAGGAACUAGGCAAAAUGGUACCGUAACUUCGGGAGAAGGUACGCUCUUGAUGGUGAAGUCCCUUGCGGAUGGAGCUGACGAGAGUCGCAGAUACCAGGUGGCUGCAACUGUUUAUUAAAAACACAGCACUGUGCAAAAUCGUAAGAUGACGUAUACGGUGUGACGCCUGCCCGGUGCCGGAAGGUUAAUUGAUGGGGUUAGACUUC